UACGUAGGGGGCAAGCGUUGUCCGGAUUUAUUGGGCGUAAAGAGCGUGUAGGCGGCCAGGUAGGUCCGCUGUGAAAACUCGAGGCUCAACCUCGAGCUGUCGGUGGAAACUUUCUGGCUAGAGUCCGGAAGAGGAGAAUGGAAUUCCUGGUGUAGCGGUGAAAUGCGCAGAUAUCAGGAAGAACACCCGUGGCGAAGGCGGUUCUCUGGGACGGUACUGACGCUGAGACGCGAAAGCGUGGGGAGCGAACAGG
rnacentral:rRNA from 1 species